UACGAAGGGGGCUAGCGUUGCUCGGAAUGACUGGGCGUAAAGGGCGCGUAGGCGGCAUAUCCAGUUAGGCGUGAAAUUCCUGGGCUCAACCUGGGGACUGCGCUUAAUACAGGUAGGCUAGAGUGUGAAAGAGGGUCGUGGAAAUUUCCAGUGUAGAGGUGAAAUUCGUAGAUAUUGGAAAGAACACCGGUGGCGAAGGCGGCGACCUGGCUCGAUACUGACGCUGAGGUGCGAAAAGCGUGGGGAGCAAACAGG
rnacentral:rRNA from 1 species